CUCUAGUAUCCUUGCUGGAGAAAUCCAUGGACAGAGGAGCCUGGCAGGCUAUAGUCCAUGGGGUCGCAAAGCGUCGGACACGACUGAGUGACUGUGACCCACCAUCAGUCAACAGGCAUUUUCUAGGUCUCCUGUUUGACUGCCAUUCCCAGCUCUGUGGUGGUGAUUGUGAAAGACUCAAGAAUUAAUUACCAAACACCAUUUCAGGUUCCAGGGAUGCUGUACUCAAAUGAUCACCACCAGCAAUGUCGAACUGCUGGUGGAGAAGAAGCCUCCAGGCGGGACACAAACACCACGGUUUGGGUGCCCACAGGCCCGCAGCCGGGAGAAGCUCGGGAUUUAUACCCUGGCGGUGGAUCCGAAUGCAGAGGGUUUCAUUUACUUUGGAAGCUUGAUAACCAUGCACAAUUAUGUCAGCUUUCUUCCUCAUCAAAUUCCACUACAUUUCCCAAGCCAAAAGGAACAUAUGAUCAUUUUCUAUUGAUGCAGUGUUGUGGUUCCAUGAUGAGAAGACACAACCCUGUCUUUUUAAGGAGCUUCAGCAGAAAAUAAGCUGCUCAUGAAAAGGGCUUGGAAAAAAAUAAUUAGUUUGGAAAAAGAAGAUUGGCAGAGAGAUAAGUGUGAGAUACUGUCUAUAAUGUUAAAGUUGAAGCCUGUGAAAUGAAAAUAGGUAUGUACUGAAGUCAGACAUUCACUAUGAAGAUUUGGACUUUUCAAGGCCCAGAUGUUAGAUUUCAGUAAUGGUGCUAUUUACCAAAGAUGCAAUUCAAGUUAGAGGGAGCCCUGGGAGACCCAGUUGUUUGUUUUUUUUCUUUCUGGUUUCGGUGAAAGAAACCAUCAUCAAAACAAAAAGGUAACCUAUGGAAUAGGAGAAGAUAUUUGCGAAUAUAUCCCUGAUACGGGUUAAUAUCAAGAAUAAAUAAAGAAUGCACACAAUUCAAUAACAACAAAAAAAGUAAGCAACUGGAUCAAAAAUUGGCAGAAUCUGAAUAGCUAUUUUUCCAAAGAAGACAUACAAAUGGCCAACAGGCACAUGAAAAGAUGUUCAACAUCACUAAUUAUUAGGGAAAUGUAGAUCAAAACUACAAUGAGAUAUCACCUCACACUUGUUAAAAUGGCUAUGAUCGAAAAGACAAGAAAUAGUAAGUAUUAGAGAGGAAGUGGAGAAAAGGAACCCCUAAAACACUAUUGGUGAAACUGUAAAUUGGUACAGCUGUUAUGGAAAACAGUACGGAGAUGAGUCAGAAAAUUUAGAAAUACGAUGCUGCUCAGUCACUUCAGUCGUGUCCAACUCUGUGCG